UACGUAGGGUGCAAGCGUUAUCCGGAAUUAUUGGGCGUAAAGAGCUCGUAGGCGGUCUGUCGCGUCUGCUGUGAAAACCGGAGGCUCAACCUCCGGCCUGCAGUGGGUACGGGCAGACUAGAGUGCGGUAGGGGAGAUUGGAAUUCCUGGUGUAGCGGUGGAAUGCGCAGAUAUCAGGAGGAACACCGAUGGCGAAGGCAGAUCUCUGGGCCGUAACUGACGCUGAGGAGCGAAAGCAUGGGGAGCGAACAGG
rnacentral:rRNA from 1 species